rnacentral:rRNA from 1 species
GAUGAACGCUGGCGGCGUGCCUAAUACAUGCAAGUCGAGCGAACAGACGAGGAGCUUGCUCCUCUGACGUUAGCGGCGGACGGGUGAGUAACACGUGGAUAACCUACCUAUAAGACUGGGAUAACUUCGGGAAACCGGAGCUAAUACCGGAUAAUAUAUUUAACCGCAUGGUUCAAUAGUGAAAGACGGUUUUGCUGUCACUUAUAGAUGGAUCCGCGCCGCAUUAGCUAGUUGGUAAGUUAACGGCUUACCAAGGCAACGAUGAGUAGCCGACCUGAGAGGGUGAUCGGCCACACUGGAACUGAGACACGGUCCAGACUCCUACGGGAGGCAGCAGUAGGGAAGCUUCCGCAAUGGGCGAAAGCCUGACGGAGCAACGCCGCGUGAGGGAUGAAGGUCUUCGGAUCGUAAAACUCUGUUAUUAGGGAAGAAGAAAUGUGUAAGUAACUAUGCACGUCUUGACGGUACCUAAUCAGAAAGCCACGGCUAACUACGUG